rnacentral:rRNA from 1 species
AGUGAACGCUGGCGGUAGGCCUAACACAUGCAAGUCGAACGGCAGCACAGGAGAGCUUGCUCUCUGGGUGGCGAGUGGCGGACGGGUGAGGAAUACAUCGGAAUCUACUUUAUCGUGGGGGAUAACGUAGGGAAACUUACGCUAAUACCGCAUACGACCUACGGGUGAAAGCAGGGGAUCUUCGGACCUUGCGCGAUUGAUUGAGCCGAUGUCGGAUUAGCUAGUUGGCGGGGUAAAGGCCCACCAAGGCGACGAUCCGUAGCUGGUCUGAGAGGAUGAUCAGCCACACUGGAACUGAGACACGGUCCAGACUCCUACGGGAGGCAGCAGUGGGGAAUAUUGGACAAUGGGCGCAAGCCUGAUCCAGCCAUACCGCGUGGGUGAAGAAGGCCUUCGGGUUGUAAAGCCCUUUCGUUGGGAAAGAAAUCCAGCUGGUUAAUACCCGGUUGGGAUGACGGUACCCAAAGAAUAAGCACCGGCUAACUUCGUGCCAGCCGCCGCCGUAA